rnacentral:rRNA from 1 species
GAUGAACGCUGGCGGCGUGCCUAAUACAUGCAAGUCGAGCGAACAGACGAGGAGCUUGCUCCUCUGACGUUAGCGGCGGACGGGUGAGUAACACGUGGAUAACCUACCUAUAAGACUGAGAUAACUUCGGGAAACCGGAGCUAAUACCGGAUAAUAUAUUGAACCGCAUGGUUCAAUAGUGAAAGACGGUUUUGCUGUCACUUAUAGAUAGAUCCGCGCCGCAUUAGCUAGUUGGUAAGGUAACGGCUUACCAAGGCAACGAUGCGUAGCCGACCUGAGAGGGUGAUCGGCCACACUGGAACUGAGACACGGUCCAGACUCCUACGGGAGGCAGCAGUAGGGAAUCUUCCGCAAUGGGCGAAAGCCUGACGGAGCAACGCCGCGUGAGUGAUGAAGGUCUUCGGAUCGUAAAACUCUGUUAUUAGGGAAGAACAAAUGUGUAAGUAACUAUGCACGUCUUGACGGUACCUAAUCAGAAAGCCACGGCUAACUACGUG